GUUGCGGAUUGGCUGUUGCUGUUGGGAAGUUGGCCGAACCCAACCAUCUAUAGGAAGUAAAAUUAGUAACAAGGUUUCCGUAGGUGAACCUGCGGAAGGAUCAUUAC
rnacentral:rRNA from 1 species